rnacentral:rRNA from 1 species
AACGAACGCUGGCGGCAUGCCUAACACAUGCAAGUCGAACGAGACCUUCGGGUCUAGUGGCGCACGGGUGCGUAACGCGUGGGAAUCUGCCCUUUGCUUCGGAGUAACAGUUAGAAAUGACUGCUAAUACCGGAUGAUGUCUUCGGACCAAAGAUUUAUCGGCAGAGGAUGAGCCCGCGUAGGAUUAGGUAGUUGGUGGGGUAAAGGCCUACCAAGCCGACGAUCCUUAGCUGGUCUGAGAGGAUGAUCAGCCACACUGGGACUGAGACACGGCCCAGACUCCUACGGGAGGCAGCAGUGGGGAAUAUUGGAC